rnacentral:lncRNA from 1 species
GAUCCACCCAUCUUGGCCUCCCAAUGUGCAGGGAUUACAGGCAUAAGCCACAGAGCCCGGCCUACAUAUUGCUUAUUAUUCAUACUUAAAAGCGCAUGCCUGGGAAUCGGGGGCUGGAGAGGGCUGAAGGCUCCCCAAGCCACCUUCCCAAAUCCUACGUCUCAUCUGUGCCAUGAAAGGGGCAGGUUAGAUGUCAGCGUUUCCCACACUAGCCUGAGUGUAAGCAUCCACUGAGGGAACUUCCAAAUAAUACAGACUCCCAGAUCACGCUGAUUCCAGGAGGUCUGGGACGGGUGCAAGGAAUUUCAAGAAGUAACAUCAAGUUAUUCUUAUGCUCAGAGAAGGCUAAUAAAUUUGGGGCGAGGCCAAAAGGCGUUGGAAGCCAGUAGUUUGAAAGAAAAAUAGCUUUCCAAAGGCUUUCGCUUUGUAAAAACUAAAUGGUGCCUUUUGGAAUACAAUGUGAACAUAACUUUUCCAAGGAUUUAAGGUGUUGAUGAGAAAGACAUUCUGAGACCUGCCAGCAGAUGGAGCCAUAAAACAAGAAAUAGAUGUUUACAGCCUCAACUCGGGAGAAAAAUACCGUGAAUGCACCUUACACUAUAGAAGUAACACUUUUCCCUCUGCUUUAUUUUCUCUAUAUGCUAAACUCCUUACUUGCCUCUGCUAAAGAACAUCGCUGGAGUGUCUUGGUGUGUGAAGUAUGAAAUAGUUUCUAAAGACAUAAGUUGUGAUAUAGCAAGACAGAGGCAAAACCCCUCAUUCUUCUGAGAGUGUAAACAUCAUGUCGCAAGAAGCUCACCUAAAAUUUGAAAAGGAAAACUCAACGAAAAUUUGAAAAGAAAUUCAAGGAAAAAAAAAUGUGACCUUUAAAAUUUCCAUGUUGACAGCACCACCAGGACCCCUUCUGGGAUCCGUUGCUAGGUAUAACUUCGUGCCUGACUCUGGAAGUUAAAAAAUGAAUAGUUACAGAUUCUUUUUCCGGGAGCCGCCUCUAGAGGGGUGUACCCACCAGGGAAGGUGAGCAGAGUGCCACCAAUCCUGUGGGUGCUCAGCGGGAGGUUGCUGAGGGAUGCUUCGUGACUCAACGCUGCUGAAGCCCUGAAGGCUGAUUUGGGUUUGCAGGGAACAGGAGGAUCGGCAUGGCGGAGCACGUUGGUCUGAGCACAUGUGAGGUGUUUAGAAAACUGCAAGUCAUCCAGCACGGGAGCAACGCCAGGCACAGGCAGGGGAGUCGUAGGGGAUGAUGCUGCAGAAGGGACAGACCGGGUUCUAGAAGUUGGCGAGCAAGGAAAUGUGAGCAUCUGGACUGCCGAACGCACCCUGUUAAGUGCUACUCAUGUCGUUCUGAUUGGGCUGAAUUGAAGAGCUGCCCAGCCUCUCCCCUGGCCCUGAGACCCCUGACCUAGAGGGACUAACUAGAGGGACGGCAUGGCAAUGGCAAGUGUACCCAAGACAGCAUGCCCGGAGGUUUAUCCAGGAAUAUUCAUCCAGAGGGAAAGAGCAAUGGACGAUGAGCAUGUUGGACCAGAUGGGCACGUGUCCAAGUGCACCCUAUGGAAUGUAUCAGCAUCGGCCUCGCCUGGAAGCCUGAUAGAAAUGCAGAUUCCCAGGCCCUGCCCAGGCCUGCUGUAUCCGGAUCUCUUGGUGGUGGAGCCCAGGGAUCUGCAUGUCACGAGCUUGCUCAGAGUAUCUGUGAACUGAGUUCAAUCCACAGCCCUCUACUCCAAUGCUAGCCAGACCCUGGGGCCAUUGCCUCUCCCCCCACAUGCCCCUCCAUACUGUCAGCACCUCUGCAUUGUGGCCUUUCUGCCACCCCCAACCGACUUGGGGAUCCCAACCACCCACACCCAGGGGCCUGCACCAGACUGCAGAGUGUUGCCUGAGGGGACACAGUCCACAGUCAUCCUUUUCUCCUCUCCUUCCCAGUUAAUUCCAUUUUCCACGCCUCUCAUGGCGAUUCCUGAUCUUCACAGGCCCCAGAGCCUCUGACCCUGGUGUUCCCCCUGAGAAAAUGAGGCCAGGGUUUGUGAGCUGCCCAUGCCACACCUGUGCCUGCCUCAUCAUGUGGAGUCCCUUUAGCUCAGCUCUAGGGUCCCCCUUCUUGCUUCCUCAAAGAUCCUCCUCUCUCCCAAGUUCCUCUUCUUCUUCUCAAUACUUCUCUCUUCUGGGGCUUCCUCCUUGACACGUCAAUGUUGUCUAGCUGUCUUCAUCAAUUUUCUUUAUUAUUUUAUUUGUAUAUAUUGUAUUUUAUUUUAAGACAGAGUCUUGCUGUGUCAGCCA